CGGCUAACUACGUGCCAGCAGCCGCGGUAAUACGUAGGGUGCAAGCGUUAAUCGGAAUUAUUGGGCGUAAAGCGCGCGCAGGUGGUUGGAUAAGUUUGAUGUGAAAGCCCCCGGCUCAACCUGGGAAUUGCAUUUAAAACUGUCCAGCUUGAGUCUAGAAGAGGGGGGUGGAAUUCCAUGUGUAGCGGUGAAAUGCGUAGAGAUAUGGAGGAAUACCAGUGGCGAAGGCGGCCCCCUGGACAAAGACUGACACUGAGGCGCGAAAGCGUGGGGAGCAAACAGGAUUAGAUACCCUGGUAGUCCACGCCGUAAACGAUGUCGAUUUAGAGGCUGUGUCCUUGAGACGUGGCUUCCGAAGUUAACGCAUUAAGUCGACCCCCUGGGGAGUACGGCCGCAAGGCUGAAACUCAAAGGAAUUGACGGGGGCCCGCACAAGCGGUGGAGCAUGUGGUUUAAUUCGAUGCAACGGGAAGAACCUUACCUGGCCUUGACAUGUUUGAAAUCCUGUAGAGAUACGGGAGUGCCUUCGGGAAUCAGAACACAGGUGGUGCAUGGUUGUCGUCAGCUNGUGUCGUGAGAUGUUGGGUUAAGUCCCGCAACGAGCGCAACCCUUGUCCUUUGUUGCCAUCACGUAAUGGUGGGCACUCAAGGGAGACUGCCGGUGAUAAACCGGAGGAAGGUGGGGANGACGUCAAAUCAUCAUGCCCCUUAUGACCUGGGCUACACACGUGCUACAAUGGCGCGUACAGAGGGCUGCAAGCUAGCGAUAGUGAGCUAAUCCCAAAAAACGCGUCGUAGUUCGGAUUGUAGGCUGCAACUCGACUCCAUGAAGUCGGAAUCGCUUGUAAUCGCAAAUCAGCAUGUUGCGGUGAAUACGUUCCCGGGCCUUGUACACACCGCCCGUC
rnacentral:rRNA from 1 species